GACGAACGCUGGCGGCGUGCUUAACACAUGCAAGUCGAGCGGUAAGGCCCUUUCGGGGGUACACGAGCGGCGAACGGGUGAGUAACACGUGGGUGACCUGCCCUUAGCUCUGGGAUAAGCCUGGGAAACUGGGUCUAAUACCGGAUAUGACCUCAUGACGCGAUGUUGUGGGGUGGAAAGCCUUGUGCGGCUAGGGAUGGACCCGCGGCCUAUCAGCUUGUUGGUGGGGUAAUGGCCACCAAGGCGACGACGGGUAGCCGGCCUGAGAGGGCGACCGGCCACACUGGGACUGAGACACGGCCCAGACUCCUACGGGAGGCAGCAGUGGGGAAUUUUGCGCAAUGGCGAAAGCCUGACGCAGCGACGCCGCGUGA
rnacentral:rRNA from 1 species